ACGCUCGACACCUACGGGAGGCAGCAGUGGGGAAUAUUGCACAAUGGGGGAAACCCUGAUGCAGCGACGCCGCGUGGAGGAAGAAGGUCUUCGGAUUGUAAACUCCUGUUGUUGGGGAAAAGAGGAUGGUACCCAACAAGGAAGUGACGGCUAACUACGUGCCAACAGCCGCGGUAAUCUGAGCGGGCUGGCAAGGC
rnacentral:rRNA from 1 species